rnacentral:rRNA from 1 species
GGCUCAGAUUGAACGCUGGCGGCAUGCUUUACACAUGCAAGUCGAACGGUAACAGGUUAAGCUGACGAGUGGCGAACGGGUGAGUAAUGCAUCGGAACGUGCCCAGUCGUGGGGGAUAACGCAGCGAAAGCUGUGCUAAUACCGCAUACGAUCUAUGGAUGAAAGCGGGGGACCUUCGGGCCUCGCGCGAUUGGAGCGGCCGAUGUCAGAUUAGGUAGUUGGUGGGGUAAAGGCCUACCAAGCCGACGAUCUGUAGCUGGUCUGAGAGGACGACCAGCCACACUGGGACUGAGACACGGCCCAGACUCCUACGGGAGGCAGCAGUGGGGAAUUUUGGACAAUGGGGGCAACCCUGAUCCAGCAAUGCCGCGUGAGUGAAGAAGGCCUUCGGGUUGUAAAGCUCUUUUGUCAGGGAAGAAACAGCAGCUCUAACACAGUCUGCGAAUGACGGUACCUGAAGAAUAAGCACCGGCUAACUACGUG